CAUUCGAGUGGCGGACGGGUGAGUAACGCGUGGGUAACCUGCCUUACACAGGGGGAUAACACCUGGAAACAGGUGCUAAUACCGCAUAAGCGCACAGGGCCGCAUGGCCCGGUGUGAAAAACUCCGGUGGUGUAAGAUGGACCCGCGUCUGAUUAGCUUGUUGGCGGGGUAGGGGCCCACCAAGGCGACGAUCAGUAGCCGGCCUGAGAGGGUGAACGGCCACAUUGGGACUGAGACACGGCCCAAACUCCUACGGAAGGCAGCAG
rnacentral:rRNA from 1 species